UUACGAGCAUAUCACGUUGAAACACCGGCUCCCGUACGAUCACCACAUUUAAGCAACGUCGAUCCCAGUCAGUACCUAGAUGGGUGAACGCUUGAGAAUUACCGGGUGCUGUAA